UGUAUCAAAAGGUGCCUUCAGCCUUAAGCUGCAAGGUACAAAGUCUCAAAUAACUUUGCUUAUUUUAUCACACAGGAGUCCCAAAGCAAGGCAGUCUGAGUCCUUUCCAACUCCAAGACCUUCCUUCUGUUGCGGAGAGUCCCGGGACUCCUCUCAGAGUAUUUAGUACUCAAAGGGAGACGAAACCAGCAGUGUGGUGGGGAAGUCCUUCCUGUCACCUCCAGCUCACGGGGUAUUGUUCUACAGACCACCGGUCUCCUGGAGAGCACAAGAAUUCAUCUGGCAUCCAAGCUCUGACACUUACCAGCCAUGAGACCUGGAAUACGUAACUACACCAGAGAGGUUUCCUUAUCUGUAAUGGAGGAACAAUGAUACAACCUCCAAGGAAAACAAUAAAUCUUCAGAAUUAAAUAA